UUGGAGGGCAAGUCUGGUGCCAGCAGCCGCGGUAAUUCCAGCUCCAAUAGCGUAUAUUAAAGUUGUUGCAGUUAAAAAGCUCGUAGUUGAAACUUGGGUCUGGCUGGCAGGUCCGCCUCACCGCGUGUACUUGUCCGGCCGGGCCUUUCCUUCUGGAGAACCUCAUGCCCUUCACUGGGCGUGUUGGGGAACCAGGACUUUUACUUUGAAAAAAUUAGAGUGUUCAAAGCAGGCCUUUGCUCGACUACGUUAGCAUGGAAUAAUAGAAUAGGACGUACGGUCCUAUUUUGUUGGUUUUUA
rnacentral:rRNA from 1 species